AAAAAAAGAGCCCGCGUUGACAGUUCGCGAGCCAAUCGUAUCUUCCAUGACGAAAGAUACUUUAUGGGAGAGGAGAAACCGGAGGAAGAACUUAUGGGGAAAUGUAAGCCUUCUCCGCGG
rfam:Thermoactinomyces sp. DSM 45891 genome assembly, contig: Ga0066384_101